rnacentral:rRNA from 1 species
GACGAACGCUGGCGGCAUGCCUAACACAUGCAAGUCGAGCGAGCAGAUCCCUUCGGGGUGAAGCUAGCGGCGGACGGGUGAGUAACACGUGGGCAACCUGCCUCAUAGAGGGGAAUAGCCUUCCGAAAGGAAGAUUAAUACCGCAUAAGAUUGUAGCUUCGCAUGAAGCAGCAAUUAAAGGAGCAAUCCGCUAUGAGAUGGGCCCGCGGCGCAUUAGCUAGUUGGUGAGGUAACGGCUCACCAAGGCGACGAUGCGUAGCCGACCGGAGGGGGUGAUCGGACACAAUGGGACUGAGACACGGCCGAGACUCGUACGGGAGGAAGCAGUGGGGAAUAUUGCACAAUGGGGGAAACCCUGAUGCAGCAAUGCGGCGUGAGUGAUGACGGCCUUCGGGUUGUAAAGCUCUGUCUUCGGGGACGAUAAUGACGGUACCCGAGGAGGAAGCCACGGCUAACUACGUGCCAGCAGCCGCCGUAA